rnacentral:rRNA from 1 species
UACGGGGGGGGCAAGCGUUGUUCGGAAUUACUGGGCGUAAAGGGCUCGUAGGUGGCGCUGUAAGUCGGGUGUGAAAUUUCGGAGCUUAACUCCGAAACUGCAUUCGAUACUGCGGUGCUCGAGGACUGGAGAGGAGACUGGAAUUCAUGGUGUAGCAGUGAAAUGCGUAGAGAUCAUGAGGAAGACCAGUGGCGAAGGCGGGUCUCUGGACAGUUCCUGACACUGAGGCACGAAGGCCAGGGGAGCAAACGGG